UACGAAGGGGGCUAGCGUUGUUCGGAUUAACUGGGCGUAAAGCGCGCGUAGGCGGGUUUUUAAGUCAGGGGUGAAAUCCCAAGGCUCAACCUUGGAACUGCCUUUGAUACUGGAAAUCUUGAGUCCGGGAGAGGUGAGUGGAACUGCGAGUGUAGAGGUGAAAUUCGUAGAUAUUGGGAAGAACACCGGUGGCGAAGGCGGCUCUCUGGACCGUAACUGACGCUGAGGCGCGAAAGCGUGGGGAGCAAACAGG
rnacentral:rRNA from 1 species